UACGUAGGGUGCGAGCGUUGCCGGAAUUACUGGGCGUAAAGAGCUCGUAGGUGGUUUGUCGCGUUGUUCGUGAAAACUCACAGCUCAACUGUGGGCGUGCGGGCGAUACGGGCAGACUAGAGUACUGCAGGGGAGACUGGAAUUCCUGGUGUAGCGGUGGAAUGCGCAGAUAUCAGGAGGAACACCGGUGGCGAAGGCGGGUCUCUGGGCAGUAACUGACGCUGGAGGAGCGAAAGCGUGGGGAGCGAACAGG
rnacentral:rRNA from 1 species